rnacentral:rRNA from 1 species
AUUGAACGCUGGCGGCAGGCCUAACACAUGCAAGUCGAACGAGUGGCGGACGGGUGAGUAAUGUCUGGGAAACCGCCUGAUGGAGGGGGAUAACCACUGGAAACGGUAGCUAAUAACGCAUUCCAUCAGAUGCGCCAAGUUGGGAUUAGCUAGUUGGCGGGGUAACGGCUCACCAAGGCGACGAUCCCUAGCUGGUCUGAGAGGAUGACCAGCCACACUGGAACUGAGACACGGUCCAGACUCCUACGGGAGGCAGCAGUGGGGAAUAUUGUACAAUGGGCGCAAGCCUGAUGCAGCCAUGCCGCGUGUGUGAAGAAGGCCUUCGGGUUGUAAAGUACUUUCAGCGGGGAGGCGUUACCCGCAGAAGAAGCACCGGCUAACUCCGUGCCAGCAGCCGCGGUAAUAC